UACGGAGGGUGCAAGCGUUGUUCGGAUUUAUUGGGCGUAAAGCGCGUGUAGGCGGUCUCUUAAGUCUGAUGUGAAAGCCCCGGGCUCAACCCGGGAAGUGCAUUGGAUACUGGGAGACUUGAAUACGGGAGAGGGUAGUGGAAUUCCUAGUGUAGGAGUGAAAUCCGUAGAUAUUAGGAGGAACACCGGUGGCGAAGGCGGCUGCCUGGACCGAUAUUGACGCUGAGACGCGAAAGCGUGGGGAGCAAACAGG
rnacentral:rRNA from 1 species